CCUACGGGAGGCAGCAGUGGGGGAUAUUGCACAAUGCGCGAAACCCUGAUGCAGCGACGCCGCGUGGGUGAAGAAGCCCCUCGGCGCGUAAAGCCCUGUCGGCAGGGAAGAAAAUGACUGUACCUGACGAAGAAGCCCCGGCUAACUACGGGCCAGCAGCCGCCGUAAUACGUAGGGGGCAAGCGUUAUCCGGAUUAACUGGGUGUAAAGGGGGCGCAGACGGCGAUGCAAGCCAGGAGUGAAAGCCCGGGGCCCAACCCCAGGACUGCUCUUGGAACUGAGUGGCUAGAGUGCAGGAGGGGCAGGUGGAAUUCCUGGUGUAGCGGUGAAAUGCGUAGAUAUCAGGAGGAACACCGGUGGCGAAGGCGGCCUGCUGGACUGCAACUGACGUUGAGGCGCGAAAGCGUGGGGAGCAAACAGGAUUAGAUACCCGAGUAGUC
rnacentral:rRNA from 1 species